AUUGAACGCUGGCGGCAUGCCUUACACAUGCAAGUCGAACGGUAACAGGGAGCUUGCUCCGCUGACGAGUGGCGAACGGGUGAGUAAUGCAUCGGAACGUACCCAGUAGUGGGGGAUAACGCAGCGAAAGCUGUGCUAAUACCGCAUACGCACUGAGGUGGAAAGCAGGGGACCUUCGGGCCUUGUGCUAUUGGAGCGGCCGAUGUCAGAUUAGCUAGUUGGUGGGGUAAAAGCUCACCAAGGCGACGAUCUGUAGCUGGUCUGAGAGGAUGAUCAGCCACACUGGGACUGAGACACGGCCCAGACUCCUACGGGAGGCAGCAGUGGGGAAUUUUGGACAAUGGGGGCAACCCUGAUCCAGCCAUGCCGCGUGAGUGAAGAAGGCCUUCGGGUUGUAAAGCUCUUUCGGCCGGGAAGAAAUCGCCAUCUCUAACAUAGGUGGUGGAUGACGGUACCGGAAUAAGAAGCACCGGCUAACUACGUGCCAGCCGCCGCCGUAA
rnacentral:rRNA from 1 species